GGGGGCGUAGCUCAGAUGGUAGAGCGCUCGCUUAGCAUGCGAGAGGUACGGGUACCCCGCGCCUCCA
rnacentral:tRNA from 1 species